rnacentral:rRNA from 1 species
UACGUAGGGGGCUAGCGUUGUCCGGAAUCAUUGGGCGUAAAGAGCGUGUAGGCGGCCCGGUAAGUCCGCUGUGAAAGUCGGGGGCUCAACCCUCGAAAGCCGGUGGAUACUGUCGGGCUAGAGUGCGGAAGAGGCGAGUGGAAUUCCUGGUGUAGCGGUGAAAUGCGCAGAUAUCAGGAGGAACACCAAUUGCGAAGGCAGCUCGCUGGGACGUUACUGACGCUGAGGCGCGAAAGCGUGGGGAGCGAACAGG